UCGGAUAUGGUGUACGGUACACGGCCUCCUCUCCUGUCGUGGAGUCGUAAUCUCCUUCUCCAGGUCACGAGUUGCGCGAGGCAGAUCGGGGUUCGACUCCCCGUGUCCGAA